rnacentral:rRNA from 1 species
UAAGACGAACCGUCCUAACGUUGUUCGGAAUCACUGGGCUUAAAGGGCGCGUAGGCGGGCGAUCAAGUCCAGGGUGAAAUCUUUCGGCUUAACCGGAAAAUAGCCUUGGAUACUGGUGGUCUCGAGGGAGGUAGGGGCCGUUGGAACUUCCGGUGGAGCGGUGAAAUGCGUUGAUAUCGGAAGGAACGCCGGUGGCGAAAGCGAACGGCUGGACCUCUUCUGACGCUGAGGCGCGAAAGCCAGGGGAGCAAACGGGAUUAGAUACCCCGGUAGUCCUGGCCCUAAACGAUGGGUACUAGAUAGCGGACUAGACAUGGGUUCGCUGUCGAAGCAAAAGUGCUAAGUACCCCGCCUGGGGAGUAUGGUCGCAAGGCUG